rnacentral:rRNA from 1 species
GAUUCCCCUAGUAACUGCGAGUGAAGAGGGAAAAGCUCAAAUUUGAAAUCUGGCAGUCCUUGUGAUUGUCCGAGUUGUAAUUUAGAGAAGUGUUACCCGCGCUGAACCGUAUAUAAGUCCUUUGGAAUGAGGCGUCAUAGAGGGUGAGAAUCCCGUCUUUGAUACGGACUGCCAGUGCUUUUGUGGUAUGCUCUCAAAGAGUCGAGUUGUUUGGGAAUGCAGCUCAAAAUGGGUGGUAAAUUCCAUCUAAAGCUAAAUACAGGCGAGAGACCGAUAGCGAACAAGUACCGUGAGGGAAAGAUGAAAAGAACUUUGGAAAGAGAGUUAAACAGUACGUGAAAUUGCUGAAAGGGAAACGCUUGAAGUCAGUCGCGUUGGUUGAGAAUCAGCCUUGCUCUUUGCUUGGUGUACUUCUUGAUCAAUGGGUCAGCAUCAGUUUUGACCGUUGGAUAAAGUGCAAGGGAAUGUGGCAUCUUCGGAUGUGUUAUAGCCUUUGUUCGUAUACAAGCGGUUGGGACUGAGGAACUCAGCACGCCGAAAGGCCGGGUUUUUAACCACGUACGUGCUUAGGAUGUUGGCAUAAUGGCUUUAAUCGACCCGUCUUGAAACACGGACCAAGGAGUCUAACAUGCCUGCGAGUGUUUGGGUGGAAAACCCGAGCGCGUAAUGAAAGUGAAAGUUGAGAUCUCUGUCAUGGAGAGCAUCGACG